ACUUUGUACUGUAGAAAUGGCAGGGAGCACAAAUGGGUUUCUUUGGGGACACUUCUAUUCAUUAUUCUAGACCUCGUCCCAAUCUGGAUGUUUGAGCUUGACAAGGCCAACCGAGCUAGGGCCUCUAACCGUACAGAAUUACUGGUAAGAACAUUGCGACACUAAAACCAGGAAAUCCCUCAUCCUGGAGUCAAUCAAUACGUAUCAUUUAUAUAAAAUCUAUUUUAGCAUUGAUAUCGGUAUCUUACGGUUUCAAAGGUUUUAUGAAACCUCAUUCUAAACACAAAUUUAUAGUAAUUAUUUGGUGGUUUGAUCAUCAUUCAGGCCUCAGUAUUCUAGUCGUCUAGGUUUUUAAACCUCAUUAUAUCAUAGUUAUACUUUACUCCAUCAAUCUCUCAUAGUUAUCCUAUUGGUAUGUCUAGGGACUAACUUUAUAGCCAAAAAAAGUUUCCAUGAUAAUUAUCUUAAGAUUUUGUUUGAAUUCAAAAUCAUGUGAAUAUUCCAUGCAGCGUCAUUGUUUGAACGAUGUAUUGUAUAUCUCACUAAAUUGUCUCAGCUAAGCAAUCAAUCAAAAGUUUAGAAGUAAUUCAUAAUACCUCUCUUUUAAUUAAUUUAUCUCUCUUCUACUACUUGCCUUAUCUCUCUGUUGAGAUUUUGACCUGAUAGCAAUGCCUAUGGUCGAGUCUGUGCUAACACCGAGACUCUUAUCGUGUCAUCGCCCACCGUGACACUAUCGCGUUACAUGUACUUUUUUUAUACUACAUUGAGAAAUUUCUCUUCCAUUUCUUCAGAUAAGCAAAACGGAAAAAAACGGAUACAACCAGUUUGGUAACUGCAAUGAAAAGAGCAAUUUGCUCCCCCUCCCCCUCAAAAAAAAAAUCAACAAGACAACGGGCUAAAAAAAUGUCCGUUGACGUUGAAUAAACUUUCAUCGAUGGUGCAAACGUAUAUCUAAGGUGCUAAUCACUGCAAAAACUCGGGUUAUAUAUUUCUGCCUCCUGUAAGAACUAUCCAAUGAACCAUUUACUGUUAACUGAGGUCUCGUCAGAUAGACACCACCGCAAAAGAGCCGCUGCCAUUGACCUAUGGUUAGAAGCAGAUUGUGCCGAAACGUGGUCCCCCUCUAAUGUAUAACAACAGUGUUUCAUCGAUCUAUCCGCAUCUGUAGCAUACCAAAAAAGGUGCUACGUCAAUCUUUAGCAUACAAAAAGGGAGAACGGUUGAUUUUUGACACACCAAAAAUAUGUUCCUUCAAUAUCAUGCACACCAUAAAGGUGCUUUGUCAAUCGUUCCACUCCUGAACCACAUCAAAUAAGUUCUCGUCGAUUCCAAAUGAAUGAUUGGUUGGAAGACACCAAGAUAUGGAGCUUUAUAGAUCAAACUGGUUUUGUAGCAAACCAAAUAAGUGCUCCAUUCUGAAGCACACAAAAAUUGUUUUCCAUUGUUCACUCCGCUCCUCCAGAACACUAAGCCAGACAGCGCUCUGUCGAUUGUUUCGUUCUGCAGCACACAUAAAGGUUGUUUCGUCUAUUGAUCCACUCAUGUAGCGCUCCCAGAGACUGGUGCCUCGAUCACUCCAUCGCAACAAAACGACCUUAUGAUCCAAAUCGCACAAUUUAUGUAAGAGGAUUGUUUUAAACAUGUAAAAGAUCAGGCUUAGUGUCUUUCUUUGAAUAAAUUAUGCUGUGAUCAAUCUUAAAAUACUUCGUUAUUCAGGUUUUUUUUAUGAUAAAAUCAUUGUCGUAAUACCAGACAUUUUUGUAAGACUAUUUGUGUUACUGUUCUAAGCAUCAGACGUAUUUGUUCAACACCAAAAGAAGCUUACAAAAGUCUUAUUUUAUGAAUUUGUUGAAAGUGUUGGAAACCUGGUGCAUACUUUUUACAUCUUGAGACUGAACGAAUCCGAUAUAAAAAUUCUCGGUACCAGUUAGAUUUUGGAAAAACCAGAUUUGCCUUUUUGUAUGGCAUUGCUUGUUUUUGCGUUGACCGGAUUGUUUCCCAUUGCUUAAUGGCAACCAUCCGCGAUCUACAAGUACAGCGCUGUCUUUUUCGAAGAAACCCUCUGAUUCAAAUCUACAUCACAUUCCAUUUACUUUGAUAUCAGCAGUUGGUCUUUUGAACUUAAAAAACAUAAACCUCUGUAAAUGAACUGAGAUUUCAAAAUUGAAUUUCAAAGUACCGAUUUCUUGUUUUAAAGUCAGAUAGUUUAAAGCAAAUUUAUCUAUUUUCAGGACGAGAAUGACCAUUUGAUCCUUAUUGAUAAUCCAUUGAAUAACCAAACGUAUAAUCUAAUUCCGUUGGCCAACGACGUUUUUGUUUACGUCGUAGAACAGAGCUUUCUGCUGGUCAUGAUUAUCGGAAGGUGGGCAAUGCCAAAAGGUCAAAUGUCGCGUGACAAACUAUCUAACCUGUUGCUGGUUAUGAUUGGCAAAGCUUGCGACAUAACAGAUUUCUUCACGCUGUUCUCAAACAAGAACGUGUCACUAGACAGAACAUUUACAUUUGUUGUCCUGGUAGUGUGGAGUCUUAGCGUGUUACAGUUCCCGAUCUCCUUCACGGAGGCCAGAGAAGACAACCUUGUCAUCACUUUCCAUAGAGACAGGCAGUAUAUGAAGGUGGUGGUUCGAACCCUCAACGUGUGCCUCAAAACAGAAAUUUGGAGCAUUUUGGCGGCAAUCUUCAUGCAGGAGUUCCCGUUUCUGGUUUGUCGUUCAUAUGCCGUCGGUGCACUUGGAAUUGUUGAUGAUACCAUCAUUUUCUUCUUAUCAAAGAACUCGUUGAUAAUAUCCAUGUACCUGUAUCGCCUUGUUUCUCUGUGUCUGGAGGCAGAUCCUUAUGGUGACGUCGGGGCUGUUGUCGCAGAAGAAAAGACUUUGGCGACGGUUGAGUGUACAGAUGAAGAGGGUUUAUCGUCUGCCGCUGUUGUAACUAUAAUGGAGGGAGACGUAGACGCACAUGUUGCAAAACAGGAGAAAUGUGAAUCUAGCAGUCCACAAAGAAACCGGUUUUUAGGGAAAACUGGUAAAUAUGAUCUAACAGAGGAGGAAGCGAAAAACAGUGAGGAAGAAAGUAGCGUGUUAGUGCAGUCCUCAACAAAACGUGAUGAUUCUUUGUAAACGCCAGGUACUCUCCGAGUGAUACGCAUUGGAAAUGGUACAUGCAUGUGUAUAUGUACUAUAUGCUUGUAACUGCACAGAUCAAUGAUUGAUAUAGAUAUCAGACUGAAUUAAUGAAAGAAAACUAUCAUGUGUCGAAUUAGCUCUAACCUGUUUUGUAUCCAUUUCCUUUAAACGAGGUUUCAUGGUCAAACAGAGUGUAUUCUUUCUAACUACUGACCACUUUUAGGUACUAGACAAAAGAAUAUGUCACCUAGC
rnacentral:misc_RNA from 1 species